rnacentral:rRNA from 1 species
UACGGGGGGGGCAAGCGUUGUUCGGAAUUACUGGGCGUAAAGGGCGCGUAGGCGGGUGGACAAGUCUCUCGUGAAAGCCCACGGCUCAACCGUGGAAUUGCGGGAGUUACUGUCUGUCUUGAGUCCGGGAGAGGAGGGUGGAAUUCCCAGUGUAGCGGUGAAAUGCGUAGAUAUUGGGAGGAACACCGGUGGCGAAGGCGGCUCUCUGGACCGGUACUGACGCUGAGGCGCGAAAGCUAGGGGAGCAAACGGG